CGCUUCGCUGCUGCAGGCCACGCUGGGCUGGCAAGCGAUACAAGUGUGAGUUUGGAAUAUUGGGCUGUUUGUGGAUGUAUGACGCUUUAUGGAUUAUAGACUGAAACAUCGUGGUGCAAGUUCUUCAAAGAAGCAAGGGGAUUUUGGCCUUUUCACUGCGUGCCGUACCAGCAACAACAGCCUAAGGAGAAUGGUCUCCUCAAAAAAUAAUCCAGGAGAACAUCUUUCAUCAAUUUAAGGUUGGAGUGCUAUUAUGCGCCCUGUGUCGGCUCUCCGCCCUUCCACUGUGUGUUUAAAACGGGGGAUGGCGCCCUGCUGGCUAAAGCAACAAAGGAUGCAUGUAACCUCACUCUUCCAGGUCACCAUCUGCAGCACUUCAAUGAAACUACAAGCUACAGGUGCACGCUGACCCGGAAGGGUCGCGUAGAAGAGAAGAACAUCACCAUAGAUUACAAGAUACGCAAAGGGAAAAAUCACAUCAAACUCUGCCCCAAUACCACAGACUUGCUGCUCCAUGGAGCUCCAACCUUACUGUGGCCUAUGGUGAUCCUGGCGCUGUGGAAGGAUCUCAUCAUUGACAGACAGAUAUUCUGACCUUUGUAGUCUGACAGACUUUAGCAGUUGUCUGUAACAGCA